CUUGCUGACUGUCCAAUUAAAAUGAAGCGCGGGUGCAUUCUAACUUGAAAUAAAAUGGCUGAAGAGAAAAAGGCUGCCAUGUUCCGUCGGAGCUCUGGGCUUCUCGUACAUGCCCCACCUGAUCUCGGGGGUGAAGCGAAGGCCCUGAAUGAUGCGCUGGGAAAACUAAGCGCUGUCACUAGAGCGAUAUCCGCUAAUGUCCGCCAUAUCAAUGAGAGUCUGGAGAGGAUAUUGGUAGAUAAACCAGAUAUUGAAGAGCUGGAGAGGAUAUUAAAUUUCCUAACAGAGAAGAAGUAGAGAUUCCCUGCAUCUGGCAGCAUCCCCAGUGGACUUCUCCUCAGUCUACUAUACAGCCCAUUGUACUGUGGACUAUUCCUAAAUAAAAUGGGACACCGUAAGGAACAAGCUAACCUACUGGAAUGUAACCCAUUUAUUGGGAUGGACACAUGAUUCGCAAUUACAUUUUUGUACUCUAUGGAAGCUUUAGCACAACCACAAACUUGAUUGCGUUACCAAUGUAAAUAGUUAUUCUAGUCUUAAACAUUGCUUCAGUUUGA